ACGUCCUACGCGAUUCACAUUCACAGGGGAUCAAAUACUAGAGACUAGAGACUAGAGAGGACUGGAGUUUCAUAACUUUGAUCCGAUUAGGGUUUCUUUACACAGUGACUUGUCAAGUUCAACCAUUUUCGGUCUGAGAUCCGAUGGCGCCGCCUCCAGGCCCUUAUUCUGGCACCAGCACUCUCGCCCUGGUGGCUCGUGCAUCAGCCUUCACUUUCGGCGUGGUCUAUGGAAGCCUGAAGCUUAAGAUUCUCAAGGCGAAGGCAAAGUCACAUCAAAAAGAUCAAGCCAAGGCUCAUCACUGAUGGACUGUGGUGUUCGUUACAUAUUUUGGGCUGCUGGCAGGAAGAAAGAGAUUGUGUUUAUUUUAUAAGAUGAAAAUUGUUUUUCGGGUACUUGUUGGCUCAUGAUGUCCUUUUAUCAGUGGAAGAUGGCUAGCUUCUUGUGGCUAGCGACAUAAUUGUCGAAGGAGAUGCAUAUAUUUAUUUUUAUAUCAAUAAUAAACCCUAAAUGGUGGUUUAUACUU